rnacentral:sRNA from 1 species
CAUUAAAUGCAAAUUUUAUGCUGCUAAUUGACAGGCGCAACACUGAAUAUAGCAGGAUUGCAUUAAUUGCAAGCUGAAUAGCAGCUGCUACCAUACAAAGUGCAGGGGGGCGCAAAGCUGGAAAUAGCCGAACUUCAUUAAUUGCAAGUUGACUAGCAGGUUUUCUGUUCGUAUGUCUAUAAAGAACACACAUUAGUGAUCUCCGCCUCUU